UGGGGAAUAUUGGACAAUGGGCGAAAGCCUGAUCCAGCCAUGCCGCGUGUGUGAGGAAGGCCUUUUGGUUGUAAAGCACUUUAAGUGGGGAGGAAAAGCUUAUGGUUAAUACCCAUAAGCCCUGACGUUACCCACAGAAUAAGCACCGGCUAACUCUGUGCCAGCAGCCGCGGUAAUACAGAGGGUGCAAGCGUUAAUCGGAAUUACUGGGCGUAAAGCGCGCGUAGGUGGUUAUUUAAGUCAGAUGUGAAAGCCCCGGGCUUAACCUGGGAACUGCAUCUGAUACUGGAUAACUAGAGUAGGUGAGAGGGGAGUAGAAUUCCAGGUGUAGCGGUGAAAUGCGUAGAGAUCUGGAGGAAUACCGAUGGCGAAGGCAGCUCCCUGGCAUCAUACUGACACUGAGGUGCGAAAGCGUGGGUAGCAAACAGGAUUAGAUACCCUGGUAGUCCACGCCGUAACGAUGUCUACCAGUCGUUGGGUCUUUUAAAGACUUAGUGACGCAGUUAACGCAAUAAGUAGACCGCCUGGGGAGUACGGCCGCAAGGUUA
rnacentral:rRNA from 1 species